ensembl:snRNA U6 U6 spliceosomal RNA
GCACUCGCUUUGGCAGCACACAUACUAGAACUGGAACAAUACAGAGAAGAUUAGCACACCCCUGUGCAGGGGUGACCCACAAUUUGUGAACAGUUCUGUAUUUUU